rnacentral:rRNA from 1 species
CUGACGGUCAAUCGCGAAAGCGUGGGGAUCAAAAAGGAUUAGAUACCCUUGUAGUCCACGCCCUAAACUAUGCACAUUAGCUAUUGGGAGCAUCGACCCUUCCAGUGGCGUAGCCAACGCGUUAAAUGUGCCGCCUGGGAAGUACGAGCGCAAGCUUAAAACUCAAAGAAAUAGGCGGGAAUUCGCACAAGCAGUGGAUCAUGUGGUUCAAUUCGACUCUAACCGAGGAACCUCACCAAGGUUUGAAACUCAGCUGCAUACUCUGGAAACAGAGUAGCCUUCGAGGGUGCUGAGCAGGUGCUGCACGGCUGUCGUCAGCUCGUCACGUGAGUGGUCUCCUUAAGUGGAUUAACGAGCGCAACCCGCAUCGUCUGUUACAAGUGUCAGACGAAACUGCUUUCGUAAGAAAGAGGAAGGUGCGGACGACGUCAAGUCAGCGUGGCCCUCUGAUACCUUGGGCUACACACAUGAUACAAUGGAUGUUACAAUGGGUCGCCAAACCGCGAGGUGGAGCUAAUCCCAUCAAAGGCAUCCCCAGUUCGGAUAGGAGGCUGAAACUUGCCUCCUUGAAGCCGGAAUUGCUAGUAAUCGCAGAUCAGCAUGCUGCGGUGAAUACGUUCUCGAAUUUUGCACUCACUGCCCGUCAAGUCAAGGGAGUCGGUAAUACCUGAAGACCCAUAUUAUACAUGGGGACACGGUAGGAUCGAUGACAGGGACUAAGUCGUAACAAGGCAAGGGUAGCGGAAGCUGCUCUUGGAUCACCUCCUU